CCGUUACUUUGGUAAGUAUAUUAUUGACAGCUUUUCCAAUAUAUUCCGGCUCUUCUGUAUAUUUUAAUUAAAGUAAUGACUCCUUAAUUGAUUUAUUUACCUUAAUUAAUUGAAAACCAGCAAGCAUGCGUAUUUGUGGGCUGAUUUAGUUUCUCCUUAAUUUAAGAAAAAGAUAUUUUAAUUGAUCCUUAGUUAAUUCUCUUUCCUUUAUCAUGUACCCUCCUCUCUAUUAUA
rnacentral:lncRNA from 1 species